GCUCCAAUAGCGUAUAUUAAAGUUGUUGCAGUUAAAAAGCUCGUAGUUGGAUUUGUGGCGUACGACGGGCCCCGGGCACUUUGUGUCUGAGUGGCUUGUCGUUGCCAUCCUUGGGUGGAAUCUGUGUGGCAUUAGGUUGUCGUGCAGGGGAUGCCAUCUUUUUACUGUGAAAAAAAUUAGAGUGUUCAAAGCAGGCUUAU
rnacentral:rRNA from 1 species